GGAUCCUCCGAGAGGGCCUGCGUGAGGCCACACCCUGUGGGACUCCCGCCUCUGGGGCGGGGCUACUGUGCACGCUGGAGCCGGUGGGUAGCGGACCGCACUCCACUUCCCCAGUGCAAAGCUUGACGUUCUCGGCGUGAAGAGAGGGAAUCCGAACGCUUGCAGUCGUGAAAUGUGAAGACCCACCCUAAUCGGUAUCAACAGUUAAAUCCAAUCUAUAAAAAUAGAGGACACGCAAAGUUACGCCUUUCCAAGCCUCAGUGUCUUCACCCGUGGCAAGGCCAUAGCAGAGAGCUGUAUCAGAAGUGGAGCAGUUGGUACUAGAACCAGCGCCCAUAUGGGAUGCUGGUGCUACAGGAAGACACUCAAGAAAGAUAAUCCUCGCCCCACAUGAAAAAAUCAAGGGAAAUGAAGAGCUCCAAAUCUGUUGAGAGUGAAACGGUCUGCAUCACCACCCAGACCCAUCAGAGGUCUAAAUGACCUCAGAGCAGCACAUGGAAACGGUAAGAAGAAUGAGACUUAAAAUUAGUGUGGUUGAACUGGGUUUUCAUCAAAUUAGCAUGAAGAACAGAGGUACACAAGAGGAACAUCCCUAACAAGAUUUAUAGACCAUUUCAUCAACUAGAAGCCAGUGAUGAACAAAAACUAAAACAAAAUAGGGAAGCAGCAAACAAAAACUAUAACCAGUAACUGCUGGUGGCAUAUUUGUCCUAUUUAUAUUAUUGGCAGUUUGCAAUUACAGGCACUAAAUUGUUCACUGGAGUUCUUCAGACUCUGAUGUUUGGAACUCUUUGAGAAAUUCCUCAACACUCUCUUGGGAUGCCUGCCCUGAGCCGGGAAAACACAACUAUUUGUCAAGGUGUGGUCUGAAGAGCUCUGGUCACAGGCAAGCGUCCUCCAGGUGGUGCAUGGGGGUGGUCUCUGGUCUGUGCUUGUAUUAACACUAUGACAUUAAAUGGCUUUCUGUACCUUUUCCUGGUGUGAGUUAAUAAAUAUGUUAUCCAGUCUUCACAGCAAUUCUGAUGAUUCUUUUUUUUUAAAAAAAUAACAACUGGGAAGUAUGGGUGGUCUGUGGAGUAUUUUGCUCAAACUCAUCUCUGAAAUGCAAAGGGUUAAACUCUACAUGUGCUCUUAGGAGUUUCUAUAUUAAAAGAGAUUUUAUUAAGCUAUUAAUUUGGAGGCUACUAAUUUUAGUGAUUUAAGAGUGCUAACAACAAGCAAGGAAGCAAAAUUUCUGGGCAGGCAGAAUGACUUUGCACUUACUCUCAGUCCCGUGGGGCCUU